rnacentral:rRNA from 1 species
GCUGGCGGCGUGCCUAACACAUGCAAGUCGCACGGGACUGGGGGCAACUCCAGUUCAGUGGCAGAUGGGUGCGUAACACGUGAGGAACUUGUCCGACGGCGGGGGAUAGCCGGCCCAACGGCCGGGUAAUACCGCGUACGCUCAUUUGGGGACAUCCCCGGAUGAGGAAAGCAGCCGCAAGGUUGCGCCGAUGGAGAGCCUCGCGGCGUAUCAGCUAGUUGGCGGGGUAACGGCCCACCAAGGCUACGACGCGUAGCUGGUCUGAGAGGAUGGCCAGCCACAUUGGGACUGAGACACGGCCCAGACUCCUACGGGAGGCAGCAGUGGGGAAUAUUGCGCAAUGGCCGAAAGGCUGACGCAGCGACGCCGCGUGUGGGAUGACGGCCCUCGGGUUGUAAACCACUGUCGGGAGGGACGAAUACAGGGCCUCGAAUAGGGGACCCUGGGUGACGGUACCUCCAAAGGAAGCACCGGCUAACUCCGUGCCAGCAGCCGCGGUAAUACGGAGGGUGCGAGCGUUGUCCGGAAUCACUGGGCGUAAAGGGCGCGUAGGCGGUUCGUUAAGUUGCUGGUGAAAUCCCGGGGCUCAACUCCGGGGCUGCCAGUAAGACUGGCGGGCUAGAGCACGGUAGAGGCGGAUGGAAUUCCCGGUGUAGCGGUGGAAUGCGUAGAUAUCGGGAAGAAUACCGGUGGCGAAGGCGUUCCGCUGGGCCGUUGCUGACGCUGAGGCGCGACA